AUUGUAUAUUUCAUUAAAAAAUUUGUAUACACAUACAUACACAUAUACACCUAUGUACACAUACAUAUCAUCUGUGAGUAAUUAUACACUUACUAGAUCAAUCCUGGAGUUAGACACAGUAUGCUAAUUUCGAAGUAUCAUAUAAGAUAUAAUAAAAAUUUUAUUAAGAGAAUUUCAAUAUUAAAGAUAUUUUGUUUCAUAUUUUUAUAUUUAGUCCUUAAUCUUAAGUUUUCCAAAUUAUUUUCAGUAUUUUACAUGUUAACCUUCUAUCUUUCAUUUUUGUCCACCACUUAUUUCCAUUAGUUUAUUUCCUUUCCAUAUAGAACAGUUUCUCAGGCUUACUUUGUACAUUACCGAUGUG
rnacentral:lncRNA from 1 species